rnacentral:lncRNA from 1 species
UGUUAUAGUUUUGCCGCUGGACUCUUCCCUCCCUUCCCCCACCCCAUCAGGAUGAUAUGAGACUUGAAAGAAGACGAUGCAUACAGGAGGAGAGACUUCAGCAUGCAAACCUUCAUCUGUCCGGCUCGCACCGUCAUUCUCAUUCCAUGCUGCUGGCCUUCAGAUGGCUGCACAGAUGCCCCAUUCACAUCAGUACAGUGACCGUCGCCAGCCAAACAUAAGUGACCAGCAGGUUUCUGCCUUAUCAUAUUCUGACCAGAUUCAGCAACCUCUAACUAACCAGAGGCGGAUGCCCCAAACCUUCCGUGAUCCAGCAACUGCUCCUCUGAGAAAACUCUCUGUGGACUUGAUCAAAACAUACAAGCAUAUUAAUGAGGUUUACUAUG